rnacentral:rRNA from 1 species
CCUAUGGGGUGCANCAGGCGAGAAAACUUUGCAAUGUGCGAAAGCACGACAAGGUUAAUCCGAGUGGUUUCUGCUAAAGAAACCUUUUGUUAGUCCUAGAAACACUAGACGAANAAGGGGUGGGCAAGU